rnacentral:rRNA from 1 species
GAUGAACGCUGGCGGCGUGCCUAAUACAUGCAAGUCGAGCGAACAGACGAGGAGCUUGCUCCUCUGACGUUAGCGGCGGACGGGUGAGUAACACGUGGAUAACCUACCUAUCCGACUGGGAUACCUUCGGGAAACCGGAGCUAAUACCGGAUAAUAUAUUGAACCGCAUGGUUCAAUAGUGAAAGACGGUUUUGCUGUCACUUAUAGAUGGCUCCGCGCCGCAUUAGCUAGUUGGUAAGGUAACGGCUUACCAAGGCAACGAUGCGUAGCCGACCUGAGAGGGUGAUCGGCCACACGGGAACAGAGAAACGGUCCAGACUCCUACGGGAGGCAGCAGUAGGGAAUCUUCCGCAAGGGGCGAGAGCCUGACGGAGCAACGCCGCGUGAGUGAUGAAGGUCUUCUGAUCGGAAAGCGCUGUUAUUAGGGAAGAACAAAUGUGUAAGUAACUAUGCACGUCUUGACGGUACCUAAACAGAAAGCCACGGCUAACUACGUG